rnacentral:rRNA from 1 species
UACAGAGGGUGCAAGCGUUAAUCGGAAUUACUGGGCGUAAAGCGUGCGUAGACGGUAGCGUAAGUCGGGUGUGAAAGCCCCGGGCUCAACCUGGGAAUGGCAUUCGAGACUGCUCUGCUAGGGUGCGGAAGAGGGGAGCGGAAUUUCCGGUGUAGCGGUGAAAUGCGUAGAUAUCAGGAGGAACACCAAUGGCGAAGGCAGCUCGCUGGGACGGUACUGACGCUGAGACGCGAAAGCGUGGGGAGCAAACAAG